GUAAUGAAUGCAAAGUGACACUGUAUAUUUGAUCUGUUCUAAGGUAUCCUCUUGGACAUGUGAUUGGUGGAACUGUUUACCCUGGAUUGACAUUGACAGCUGGCACCAUGUGGUGGAUACUGAAUUCUUUGAAUAUUCCUCUGUCUGUGGAAACUAUUUGUGUAUUUAUGGCUCCAGUAUUCUCUGCUAUUGCUGCAUGGGCAACCUACCUUCUCACAAAGAUUCAUGUUCUAUUUUUAUUUUUGUUUUGGAACAUGUAUUUCUAGAACCUAGGACUCGUUAUGUAUUAUGUUUAAUGUGAGUUUUCUGCAAACUGAGAUUUCUCAAUCUUGUCCAAUACCCCAACACGCAGGAAGUUAAGGGUGCGGGUGCUGGACUGACUGCAGCAGUUCUUUUAGCCAUGAUAGGACAAGCAUGUAGGCCAGUGGUAAAGGGUUUGGGAAUGUGGGGUUCGGUCAAAGCUCUAGGAAGAGGAUACGAGUACAUAAUGGGGGUUGUCAUCUUUGUACCUAUUACUAUGUUGGCGUGGUUCCCAUUAGUCACAGAAUUCCAGACCAGGUUGCUAUUCAACCAAGCUUUCAGCCGAGGGCUUCAGAUUCAACGCAUUCUCGCUGGUGGGAAGAAGCAGAAGCAGAAGUAAUUAAGUACAAGUAAAAUACUUUCUGCACACAAUUUGAUUUGUGGAGAGAGAGAGAGAGAGAUACAUGAUUGCAAUGUCAAGUUUACUCAAUUGUAUAUUGAUCUCCUCCACUUUCUUCUUCUUUUUCAUAUCAGCUAUACUGGAAAUGAAUUUUAAUUCUCUUUGGUC